rnacentral:rRNA from 1 species
CCUACGGGUGGCAGCAGUGAGGAAUCUUGGUCAAUGGGCGCGAGCCUGAACCAGCCAAGUAGCGUGAAGGAUGACUGCCCUACGGGUUGUAAACUUCUUUUAUAAAGGAAUAAAGUGAGGCACGUGUGCCUUUUUGUAUGUACUUUAUGAAUACGGAUCGACUAACUCCGUGCCAGCAGCCGCGGUAAUACGGAGGAUCCGAGCGUUGUCCGGAUUUAUUGGGUUUAAAGGUAGCGUAGAUGGGUUGUUAAGUCAGUUGUGAAAGUUUGCGGCUCAACCGUAAAAUUGCAAUUGAUACUGGCAGCCUUGAGUACAGUUGAGGGAGGCGGAAUUCGUGGUGUAGCGGUGAAAUGCUUAGAUAUCACGAAGAACUCCGAUUGCGAAGGCAGCUUACUAAACUGCCACUGACAUUGAUGCUCGAAAGUGUGGGUAGCGAACAGGAUUAGAUACCCGAGUAGUC